UACGUAGGGGGCAAGCGUUGUCCGGAAUCAUUGGGCGUAAAGAGCGUGUAGGCGGCCCGGUAAGUCCGCUGUGAAAGUCCAGGGCUCAACCCUGGGAUGCCGGUGGAUACUGUCGGGCUCGAGUCCGGAAGAGGAGUGUGGAAUUCCUGGUGUGAGCGGUGAAAUGCGCAGAUAUCAGGAGGAACACCAAUGGCGAAGGCAGCACUCUGGGACGUGACUGACGGCUGAGACGCGAAAGCGUGGGGAGCAAAGCAGG
rnacentral:rRNA from 1 species